rnacentral:lncRNA from 1 species
CAGUUAUCAGUCAUACUUCAUGCUACGAACAUCUGUAGUUCUGUACUUCAUGCUACGAAGUUGUAUAGUCGAGAACGUAGGCAUUAUAAUAGCCUUUAAUCUAUCCUUGGCAAUUUCAUCUGAUCACGUGGUCUGACUGAAACUGCUCUACAUUUCCCAAAAAUGUCGUCUGUUGCUCGUUGCUGCCUGGUUGCUGCACGUACCGGCUGUACUUUCAUCACAUGAAGCAAUACUUCAGAACAGUAAACCUGGUGAAGUCUGUGCUUCUUUAUUGCAGUCCAAUGUGUGCAUGGAUUUGUUGCAGCCAGCUGGUGAAAGGUGUUUCUCAUGCAGGCUUGCUUGCUCUGUACCAUUUGAAGCUUUCAUCACGUGAGUAAUGCUUCAGAGCAAUUUAAGGAUUACAGCCUCUUUAACUUAAGGUCUGAGCCUCUUCGUGGCACUCCAAUGUGCACACGGAUUUGGUGCAGCCAGCUGUUGAAAGGUGGUGGAGUGUCUGUUCGUGAGUGAGUGACUAUAUUCUGCCAAUGACAGUGAACGGGAAUGUGUUGCUGACGGUGUUUUUCGUUUUUACAUUUAAGAACGAUUGAGGUAUUCGGACGCCAUUCAACCAAACUGAAUCGAAAGUGACCAACUCUAAAGCAAGUCAUGCCUUUCUCCAUGUGGUCGCUGAUGUGUCAUGAAUAUGCGUCUUCGAGACGGUCUUUACUAUAGUGCAAGACAAUAUUGUGAUGAAAACGGGAAAUCUGAAAUGGAUUUCAUGUUCAGCUUGAUUUUGGAGCUGUUUGCGAUGUUGCUGUGUGGUGUGCAGUGGUUUCACAGUCAGUUUCCAGUUGACAGAUGCACUUGAAUGGAGCUUGUGCAGACUUGCAAUUCAACAUUAAACCCCAAUUUCUCAUUUGUCUUUUCUUGUUGUGUUCAUGCGGUGUUGAAAAGUUGGUGAAAAUAGUCCAUUUUACCUGAGAGCUUGUCUUGCAUAUUAUGUCAGCUGCAAUUUUGUCGACAUGUUAUCUUCUGCCACCUGUACCGGCGUUGAGUUAAUACAAUCGCUCGCCGCCGUUCCAUAGCUGAAACAGAAGAGAUGCUGAAAUUCAAAACUGAUAAAUAAUGUAGGCCUAGAUGAUUAUUAGGGCAUAUCUGUGCUCCUUCCUUCCCCUUUUUCUUAAGUAAACAGAACCAAUCCCAACCCCUGUAAGCUUGUAAAAUCAAAGUAUAGAUGAAGGUACAAUUAAUCAUAGAAGAGUAGUUUCCCUCAUAUAGCCCUCCAAAUUUUCCACAGAUGAUGUCUUAUCGCAUUAUCACAGCGGGUGAUUAACUAGCUGUAACUGAAUAGUUCUUGUCUUUUCUAGAAAGAACAUGACUUCUCUUAAAGUCUGUUAUGCAAAUUUAGAAACCUGUUGUUUAGAAUCAGCAAAUAUAAAAAAAAAAUAAAGUUACCUUGUUUAUACUUUU